UACAGAGGGUGCAAGCGUUAUUCGGAAUCACUGGGCGUAAAGAGCGCGUAGGCGGCCCGCUAAGUCAGAUGUGAAAUCCCUGGACUCAAUCCAGGAGCUGCAUCUGAUACUGGUGGGCUAGAGUGUAGGAGAGGAAGGCGGAAUUCCAGGUGUAGAGGUGAAAUUCGUAGAUAUCUGGAGGAACAACAGAGGCGAAGGCGGCCUUCUGGACUACUACUGACGCUGAGGCGCGAAAGCGUGGGGAGCAAACAGG
rnacentral:rRNA from 2 species